AGUGAACGCUGGCGGUAGGCCUAACACAUGCAAGUCGAACGGCAGCACAGUAAGAGCUUGCUCUUACGGGUGGCGAGUGGCGGACGGGUGAGGAAUACAUCGGAAUCUACUUUUUCGUGGGGGAUAACGUAGGGAAACUUCCGCUAAUACCGCAUACGACCUACGGGUGAAAGCAGGGGAUCUUCGGACCUUGCGCGAUUGAAUGAGCCGAUGUCGGAUUAGCUAGUUGGCGGGGUAAAGGCCCACCAAGGCGACGAUCCGUAGCUGGUCUGAGAGGAUGAUCAGCCACACUGGAACUGAGACACGGUCCAGACUCCUACGGGAGGCAGCAGUGGGGAAUAUUGGACAAUGGGCGCAAGCCUGAUCCAGCCAUACCGCGUGGGUGAAGAGGGCCUUCGGGUUGUAAAGCCCUUUUGUUGGGAAAGAAAAGCAGCAGGUUAAUACCCCGCUGUUCUGACGGUACCCAAAGAAUAAGCACCGGCUAACUUCGUG
rnacentral:rRNA from 1 species